UAAUCACAUUCGUCGGCUGGAUAGUGAUC
rnacentral:sRNA from 1 species